rnacentral:rRNA from 1 species
AAUGAACGUUGGCGGCAUGGAUUAGGCAUGCAAGUCGAGCGAGAAGUGUAGCAAUACACGGAAAGCGGCGGAAGGGAGAGUAAUACGUGGGAAUCUGCCCUUAGACCUGGGAUAGCAGCGGGAAACUGCUGGUAAUACCAGAUAAUGUCUAUGGACCAAAGGUGUGAUUCCGUCUAGGGAUGAGCCCACGUCCUAUUAGCUAGUUGGUAGGGUAAUGGCCUACCAAGGCGAUGAUGGGUAGCGGGUGUGAGAGCAUGACCCGCCUCACUGGGACUGAGACACUGCCCGGACACCUACGGGUGGCUGCAGUCGAGAAUCUUCGGCAAUGGGCGCAAGCCUGACCGAGCGAUGCCGCGUGCGGGAUGAAGGCCUUCGGGUUGUAAACCGCUGUCGAGGGGGAGGAAAUGUAGGAGAGUUAUCUCUUCUACUUGACUAAUACUAGGAGGAAGGACCGGCUAAUCUCGUGCCAGCCGCCGCUGUAAUAC